GAUGAACGCUGGUGGCGUGCCUAAUACAUGCAAGUCGAGCGAACAGACGAGGAGCUUGCUCCUCUGACGUUAGCGGCGGACGGGUGAGUAACACGUGGAUAACCUACCUAUAAGACUGGGAUAACUUCGGGAAACCGGAGCUAAUACCGGAUAAUAUAUUGAACCGCAUGGUUCAAUAGUGAAAGACGGUUUUGCUGUCACUUAUAGAUGGAUCCGCGCCGCAUUAGCUAGUUGGUAAGGUAACGGCUUACCAAGGCAACGACGCGUAGCCGACCUGAGAGGGUGAUCGGCCACACUGGAACUGAGACACGGUCCAGACUCCUACGGGAGGCAGCAGUAGGGAAUCUUCCGCAAUGGGCGAAAGCUUGACGGAGCAACGCCGCGUGAGUGAUGAAGGUCUUCGGAUCGUAAAACUCUGUUAUUAGGGAAGAACAAAUGUGUAAGUAACUAUGCACGUCUUGACGGUACCUAAUCAGAAAGCCACGGCUAACUACGUG
rnacentral:rRNA from 1 species